rnacentral:rRNA from 1 species
UACGUAGGUGGCAAGCGCUGUCCGGAUUUACUGGGCGUAAAGAGCGCGCAGGCGGUCGUGCAAGUCGCGUGUGAAAGCCCCCGGCUCAACUGGGGAGGGUCACGCGAUACUGCUCGACUCGAAGGCAGGAGAGGGAAGUGGAAUUCCCGGUGUAGUGGUGAAAUGCGUAGAUAUCGGGAGGAACACCAGUGGCGAAGGCGGCAUCCUGGACCAACACCGACGCUGAGGAGCGAAAGCCAGGGGAGCAAACGGG